CCUUCCUGCCAUCCCCUCUGCCACACGGGCGGAUAGAAUCAUUGAAUUGUUAGAAUUGGAAGGGCCAUCUGAUCCAACUCCCUGCAAUGAACAGGGACACCCACAGCUCCUUCAGGUCCUCCUGGGCCCACUGCUCAGUCUGUCUGGGUCUCUCUGUAUGGCAUCCCAUCUUUUGGGCGUGUUGACUGCACAGCUUGGUGUCAUCCUCGUCUGCUGGGUUUGAUGGGACCGUCUGGUCCAAAGGUGCAAGGAGAAAGGCUCUGGGAAGAAUGAGAAGAAGAAGCCAUCUCAAGCCCCUCUGCUGACCAGCAGGAUGCUGUUGAGGCCAAUCUUUGCUCAUCUCUGUGCCUUUAGAUGGCACUUUCCAUCAGCCUGUUGGGAAACUGACACUGCCCUCCCCGAUUACUGCUGGGGGAGCCUUGUCCCAGCUGUCACCCGGAGCCAUCUGUGGUGCCAAGGAAUGAGUUGGGUUUCUGAGUGCUUUGUGAGCCCAUGCAGUACCUCAUGCAGGAGCAGGGAAAGGAGCCCAGGAGCCCUGCUGGGUCAUGACCCUGCUCCACUCUAUGCUGUUCAGAUCCCAGAGAGAAAAAUGGAGUAAAC
ensembl:lncRNA